rfam:Ictidomys tridecemlineatus contig051230, whole genome shotgun sequence.
GGGGGUGUGGCUCAGUGACAGAGCACUUGCCUAGCAAGCAAGAGGUCCUGGGCUUGGGUUCAAUUCCCAACACCUUAA